CUACGGGGGGCAGCAGUGAGGAAUAUUGCGCAAUGGGGGAAACCCUGACGCAGCGACGCCGCGUGGAUGAUGAAGGCCUUCGGGUCGUAAAAUCCUGUCAGAUGGGAAGAAAUGUUGUAUGGCUAAUACCUGUAUGAUUUGACGGUACCAUCAAAGGAAGCACCGGCUAACUCCGUGCCAGCAGCCGCGGUAAUACGGAGGGUGCAAGCGUUGUUCGGAAUUACUGGGCGUAAAGCGCGCGUAGGCGGCUAUUUAAGUCAGAUGUGAAAGUCCACGGCUCAACCGUGGAAGUGCAUUUGAAACUGGAUAGCUUGAGUACUGGAGGGGGUGGUGGAAUUCCCGGUGUAGAGGUGAAAUUCGUAGAUAUCGGGAGGAAUACCGGUGGCGAAGGCGACCACCUGGCCAGAUACUGACGCUGAGGUGCGAAAGCGUGGGGAGCAAACAGGAUUAGAUACCCCUGUAGUC
rnacentral:rRNA from 1 species